CAGACCUGCCAUCCUGCUGUGUUCUCUCGAGACAACAGACCUGCUACCUGCUGUUUCCAUCAAUCGCUGUGCUCACAGAACAAUCUCGUGACUAUUGUAAAAGGGGCAUUGCAAUCAUG